UGGCCGUGUGUCUCUGCUUGCGGCAGAGU
rnacentral:sRNA from 1 species